rnacentral:rRNA from 1 species
CGAACGCUGGCGGCAUGCCUAACACAUGCAAGUCGAACGAUGCCUCCGGGCAUAGUGGCGCACGGGUGCGUAACGCGUGGGAAUCUGCCCUUGGGUUCGGAAUAACUCGCCGAUAGGCGAGCUAAUACCGGAUGAUGACGUAAGUCCAAAGAUUUAUCGCCCAAGGAUGAGCCCGCGUAGGAUUAGCUAGUUGGUGGGGUAAAGGCCCACCAAGGCGACGAUCCUUAGCUGGUCUGAGAGGAUGAUCAGCCACACUGGGACUGAGACACGGCCCAGACUCCUACGGGAGGCAGCAGUGGGGAAUAUUGGACAAUGGGCGAAAGCCUGAUCCAGCAAUGCCGCGUGAGUGAUGAAGGCCUUAGGGUUGUAAAGCUCUUUUACCCGGGAUGAUAAUGACAGUACCGGGAGAAUAAGCUCCGGCUAACUCCGUG